UACACACUCGGUAAUACUAGUGAGGACAUUGAAUCCCCCAAUGGGUGGAUUGUGAGAUCCCACGUUAAUUGGAGGGGGAACAAAACAUUUCUUAUGAGUCAGACACUCGGCUCUAUGCGAACGAGGACACUAGAUCUUCCAAGGAGUAGAUUGUGAGAUUCCACAUUGGUUAAGGAUAAGAAUAAGAACGAAGCAUUCCUUAUAAACAUUCCUGAUACGAUCUUCCCAACCAUCGAUGAACCCAAGCCCUAAUUAACUAUAAACAUAUUUAAAAGGGGUUUUAUACAAUGGUGGAAGUUGGGUGAGUCUAAUGAUUUAUGGACAUGGGUUAAGUUCACUUUUUAUGGACACAACCCUUCCUUUCUUUUCUCCCUCAAAACCUUUACCGUUUUGUUGAUGCUGUUCUUCACGAGCCUCUAUAUUUCUCUAGGGUUCUUCAUAAAUCUUCUUCUUCUUCAUCAUCUAUGAACUCGAUUUCUACGCACGGAAGCCGAACCCAUAGCCAUGGAGGUCCGAUCGAUAGCAGCCAUUAUUUGUUGACGCAGCACCAUCAAGAUUCACAAGGCUUUUCAUCUUUAAAUUUCUCUCUUCAUUGAAGAAAGAAGAACAAAGGCUUCUCCUUUGGGAAUCUUGAUGAUGCUGCAUCGUCAAUUACAUGGCUUAUAAAUGAAAUCCAGAAUUUGGGUUCAGAUUUUGAGGCCAUUUCUGAAUCUGGAUUUUGUGGACAUGAACAGCGGCAGAAGGCAGCUGAGUUGAAAAGACAGCGUCUCGACAGUAUUAAUAACAUAAAGAAGAAGAACACUACGUUGAGACAUUGAUUAUGUCGUAAGAUCCCUUCCUUUAGCUGAUUGCACGCAUGUCUUAUGUUGGAUGAGGAAACUUUGUAUUCGUCUCGAAAGUAUCGGGGAAAAUUAUUUUACCAAUUAAAUUUGCCUCCCUAUUGAUUUUUGUGGUUUGAAUCGAAAGGGUGCAGCAAUACGAACAAAAGAGGCAAGCUUUUGUGAGAGAGACAAGUCAAUCAGGUGCGCAUAGGUUAUUUGUAGCUCUAUGUGAUAUUCAAAUAAUGCAUUAUUAGGACAUUAUACAUAUGUACUUAUAUUUCUACUUAUAUGCACUAAUUAAUUAGCCCAUCACAAACGAAAUGAAACCUAACCCUAAUUAGGUAAAAUAACGAUGAUUUUCUCUCGUGUUUUGGGUCCUAUCGAGGACUUCUUAUUAUGAUUCUAUGUUAAUGUCCAACUCUUAUUGGAUAAUUUGAUGUACUGACUCUUGUCGUGUGUGUAAAAGUUAAUGUUUUGGUAUAUCUUUCAGGUCAUAUUGAGCCGUGUUAAUAAUUUAAUAUUUAUCAUGGUAGAC